rnacentral:rRNA from 1 species
AGAGUUUGAUUCUGGCUCAGGAUGAACGCUGGCGGCGUGCUUAACACAUGCAAGUCGAACGGAGUUAAGAAGGAAGCUUGCUUCAUUUAAACUUAGUGGCGGACGGGUGAGUAACGCGUGAGGAACCUGCCCUUCAGUGGGGAACAACAACUAGAAAUGGUUGCUAAUACCGCAUAAUGUCGGAGAGCCGCAUGACUUUCCGACCAAAGGAUUUAUUCGCUGAAGGAUGGCCUCGCGUCCGAUUAGGUAGUUGGUGAGGUAACGGCCCACCAAGCCUACGAUCGGUAGCCGAACUGAGAGGUUGAUCGGCCACAUUGGGACUGAGACACGGCCCAGACUCCUACGGGAGGCAGCAGUGGGGAAUAUUGGGCAAUGGGCGAAAAAGCCUGACCCAGCAACGCCGCGUGAAGGAUGACGGUCUUCGGAUUGUAAACUUCUUUAAUUGGGGAAGAACAAAAUGACCUACCCAAAGAAUAAGUCACGGCUAACUACGUGCCAGCCGCGGC